UACGGGGGGGGGCAAGCGUUGUUCGGAAUCACUGGGCGUAAAGGGUGCGUAGGCGGGUCUUUAAGUCAGGGGGGAAAUCCUGGAGCUCAACUCCAGAACUGCCUUUGAUACUGAGGAUCUUGAGUUCGGGAGAGGUGAGUGGAACUGCGAGUGUAGAGGUGAAAUUCGUAGAUAUUCGCAAGAACACCAGUGGCGAAGGCGGCUCACUGGCCCGAUACUGACGCUGAGGCACGAAAGCGUGGGGAGCAAACAGG
rnacentral:rRNA from 1 species